ACUUAGCUGACGAGUCCCAAACAGGACGAAACGCGCGUCCUGGAU
rnacentral:hammerhead_ribozyme from 1 species